AGCGAACGCUGGCGGCAGGCCUAACACAUGCAAGUCGAACGGAUCCUUCGGGAUUAGUGGCGGACGGGUGAGUAACACGUGGGAACGUGCCCUUUGGUUCGGAACAACUCAGGGAAACUUGAGCUAAUACCGGAUGUGCCCUUCGGGGGAAAGAUUUAUCGCCAUUGGAGCGGCCCGCGUCUGAUUAGCUAGUUGGUGAGGUAAAGGCUCACCAAGGCGACGAUCAGUAGCUGGUCUGAGAGGAUGAUCAGCCACAUUGGGACUGAGACACGGCCCAAACUCCUACGGGAGGCAGCAGUGGGGAAUCUUGCGAAAUGGGCGAAAGCCUGACGCAGCCAUGCCGCGUGAAUGAUGAAGGUCUUAGGAUUGUAAAAUUCUUUCACCGGGGACGAUAAUGACGGUAUCCGGAGAAGAAGCCCCGGCUAACUUCGUGCCAGCAGCCGCCGUAAUAC
rnacentral:rRNA from 1 species